CCUCCGUGACGUACUUCCUAGGCUGCAGCACCUAAACCAACUGAUUUCCUCAGGGAGACCAACAUCUCAUUCAAACCACGGCAGCCUGCAAAAGCUAGGCUUCGUUCUUGUGUGUGUGUCCAGGAUCUUUCGUGGGCCCAAAGAGGUGGAGAGGGUCUUUACUGCCUUACCGCUGGUAUUUGCCACAGAAGCAGAAGCGAAGACCUCACAUCAUGAUCCUGGCUUCUGCUACAUGUAAAGGCUAUGCUGUGGUGCUGUGAUAUGAGUUAUAUGUGCCAUAGCAUGCAGAGAAAGAAUAUUUGAUUAAGGACCAAGACAUCUUACAGAAGAAAGGGUUUACAGUUCCAGAGUGAUGAGCAUUCAUGGUGACAGAGUUGAAGCAUAAAGCAUGACAGCAGGUGACAGGCAAAACUAUACAAGGAGGAAACUGAGAGCUCACACUUGACAAAGCAGAGAAUGGGAAUUGGAGUGUAAACUGAAGACCAGAAGCUGACCUUUGGAGACAUCUAGUCCAGCAGAGCAGCUGCUACAUUCUCAGUAUCUUCAACGUGAGACAACCAUGUCGGAAAAGCCAACCCAUAUCACUUUCAGGUUCUGAUGUCACCGUCUGGCCUAAGGACCCUGCAUGCACUGGUGCUACUGCGUAUGAACUCACAUAAGCGCACGCAAACACAUAAAAACAACAAGAUAAAGUUUCACAGCGAAACAUUCGCACCACAGCAUGGACGCUUCUCUCUGUACUUGGACAUAACUUCAGUGGAAUUUCAGAGAAUGCAGACAAAAAGAGUCAGAUGCUCCUGUCAAUACCUGCCUGUGGAUGCCAUCACCUCCGUCGGCUACGAGUUCAUGGGAAGCAGAUCCCUGAACAUCUCACACCUCACCACGGUCGUCUAGGCUAGAUGAAAUAGCUCUUCUGCCUUGAAAGACCUCCCGAGUGUGUGUCAGCCACCCGUGAGUCCAAAGCCUUCACAGUACUUACCAACAGACUCACUUCUCUGGAAACGGCCUCAACUUUUCGAUUAUUAUUAGGAAUGUUUUGAAUUUUUAUGUUAAUGGCAGAGAGAAAGUAGAACAAAGAAGAAACGGGCCUGUCAUCUAAGCUGAGACGAUAAUCAAUAAUGAAAAUGCAGGAAUGGCGCGGCCUCGUCGUCUAUGCACAUAUAUUUUAUGGGGUUAGGUUCACACUCUCCUGAGACUGUUGAAGUCUGUGUUUGGACCCCAACUCUCAAGAUCCAGUUCCCCCCAUUUCAUUAAUAUUUCUUUGUAAUCAUAGCCUAAUACUGAUCUAUGAUAUUUUGCCUAAUUGUUCACCUCUUUCAGGCAUUUUAUAACCUCCUUUUUGUCCCCCCCUUCCUGACUGUAGGUUGUGCUUAAAUAAACCAAUUCAUACAAGUAGC
rnacentral:lncRNA from 1 species